UAGAUACCCUGGUAGUCCACGCCCUAAACGAUGUAUACUAGUUGUUGCUAAGCUAGUCUUGGCAGUAAUGCACCUAACGGAUUAAGUAUACCGCCUGGGGAGUACGGUCGCAAGAUUAAAACUCAAAGGAAUAGACGGGGACCCGCACAAGCGGUGGAGCAUGUGGUUUAAUUCGAAGAUACGCGAAGAACCUUACCCGGACUUGAUAUCUAACAAAUCAUCUAGAGAUAGAAGAGUGUCUGCUUGCAGA
rnacentral:rRNA from 1 species